GAUGAACGCUGGCGGCGUGCCUAAUACAUGCAAGUCGAGCGAACAGACGAGGAGCUUGCUCCUCUGACGUUAGCGGCGGACGGGUGAGUAACACGUGGAUAACCUACCUAUAAGACUGGGAUAACUUCGGGAAACCGGAGCUAAUACCGGAUAAUAUAUUGAACCGCAUGGUUCAAUAGUGAAAGACGGUUUUGCUGUCACUUAUAGAUGGAUCCGCGCCGCAUUAGCUAGUUGGUAAGGUAACGGCUUACCAAGGCGACGAUGCGUAGCCGACCUGAGAGGGUGAUAGGCCACACUGGAACUGAGACACGGUCCAGACUCCUACGGGAGGCAGCAGUAGGGAAUCUUCCGCAAGGGGCGAAAGCCUGACGGAGCAACGCCGCGUGAGUGAUGAAGGUCUUCGGAUCGUAAAACUCUGUUAUUAGGGAAGAACAAAUGUGUAAGUAACUAUGCACGUCUUGACGGUACCUAAUCAGAAAGCCACGGCUAACUACGU
rnacentral:rRNA from 1 species